GAUGAACGCUGGCGGCGUGCCUAAUACAUGCAAGUCGAGCGAACGGACGAGAAGCUUGCUUCUCUGAUGUUAGCGGCGGACGGGUGAGUAACACGUGGAUAACCUACCUAUAAGACUGGGAUAACUUCGGGAAACCGGAGCUAAUACCGGAUAAUAUUUUGAACCGCAUGGUUCAAAAGUGAAAGACGGUCUUGCUGUCACUUAUAGAUGGAUCCGCGCUGCAUUAGCUAGUUGGUAAGGUAACGGCUUACCAAGGCAACGAUGCAUAGCCGACCUGAGGGGGUGAUCGGCCACAUUGGAACGUGGACAGGGACCAGAGUCCUGCGGGAGGCAGCAGUAGGGAAUCUGCCGCAAUGGGCGAAAGCCUGACGGAACGACGCCACGCGAGUGAUGAAGGUCUUCGGAUCGUAAAACUCUGUUAUGAGGGAAGAACAGAUGUGUAAGUAAAUGUGCAGAUCGUGACGGUACCUAAUCAGAAAGCCCCGGCUAACUACGUG
rnacentral:rRNA from 1 species